UACGAGGGGGGCGAGCGUUGUUCGGAAUUAUUGGGCGUAAAGGGUGCGUAGGCGGUUUGGUAAGUCUUAUGUGAAAUCUAUGGGCUCAACUCAUAGACUGCAUGAGAAACUGCCGGGCUUGAGUAUGGGAGAGGUGAGUGGAAUUCCUGGUGUAGCGGUGAAAUGCGUAGAUAUCAAGUGGAACACCAGUGGCGAAGGCGAGUCUCUGGACAUUUCCUGACGCUGAGGCACGAAAGCCAGGGGAGCAAACGGG
rnacentral:rRNA from 1 species